rnacentral:rRNA from 1 species
AAUCUUGCGCAAUGGGCGAAAGCCUGACGCAGCAAUGCCGCGUGAAUGAUGAAGGUAUUAGGAUUGUAAAAUUCUUUCACCGGGGACGAUAAUGACGGUACCCGGAGAAGAAGCCCCGGCUAACUUCGUGCCAGCAGCCGCGGUAAUACGAAGGGGGCUAGCGUUGCUCGAAAUUCCUGGGCGUAAAGGGAGCGUAGGCGGAACGUUAAGGCAGAGCUGAAAUCCCAGGGCUCAACCCGGGAACUGCCUUGGAUACAGGCGAUCUUGAGUAUGAGAGAGUUAUGUGGAACUCCGAGUUUAGAGGUGAAAUUCGUAGAUAUUCGGAAGAACACCAGUGGCGAAGGCGACAUACUGGCUCAUUACUGACGCUGAGGCGCGAAAGCGUGGGGAGCAAACA